CGCAGACGACGCUGGCGGCGUGCUUAACACAUGCAAGUCGAACGAUGAAGCCCUUCGGGGUGGAUUAGUGGCGAACGGGUGAGUAACACGUGGGCAAUCUGCCCUUCACUCUGGGACAAGCCCUGGAAACGGGGUCUAAUACCGGAUAUGACACACGACCGCAUGGUCUGUGUGUGGAAAGCUCCGGCGGUGAAGGAUGAGCCCGCGGCCUAUCAGCUUGUUGGUGGGGUGAUGGCCUACCAAGGCGACGACGGGUAGCCGGCCUGAGAGGGCGACCGGCCACACUGGGACUGAGACACGGCCCAGACUCCUACGGGAGGCAGCAGUGGGGAAUAUUGCACAAUGGGCGAAAGCCUGAUGCAGCGACGCCGCGUGAGGGAUGACGGCCUUCGGGUUGUAAACCUCUUUCAGCAGGGAAGAAGCGAGAGUGACGGUACCUGCAGAAGAAGCGCCGGCUAACUACGUGCCAGCAGCCGCGGUAAUACGUAGGGCGCAAGCGUUGUCCGGAAUUAUUGGGCGUAAAGAGCUCGUAGGCGGCUUGUCACGUCGGAUGUGAAAGCCCGGGGCUUAACCCCGGGUCUGCAUUCGAUACGGGCAGGCUAGAGUUCGGUAGGGGAGAUCGGAAUUCCUGGUGUAGCGGUGAAAUGCGCAGAUAUCAGGAGGAACACCGGUGGCGAAGGCGGAUCUCUGGGCCGAUACUGACGCUGAGGAGCGAAAGCGUGGGGAGCGAACAGGAUUAGAUACCCUGGUAGUCCACGCCGUAAACGUUGGGAACUAGGUGUGGGCGACAUUCCACGUCGUCCGUGCCGCAGCUAACGCAUUAAGUCCCCGU
rnacentral:rRNA from 1 species